AGGUGCUUCCAGGGGCUGCUGAAGGGCAAGAGCCAGAGAGCUCCUCUGAGUACAGCAGGGCACGGGAAGCUCGUCAGGACCUCCAGCAAGACGCCAGCAGGAGGAGAAAGCUGAGCUGCGAGGAGGAGAGGGACAGCCAGGCAGACAUCAGAAGGCAAAGGGUGGAUCCCAAGCUUGAAGAGGCUCCUGAAGAAAUGUCACCUGCUGGGCUCAAUUCUGGAACACCUGAUGGGCACAGGGGACAUUCUUCAGAGGAGAAAAGUUUUGUUUCUGUUUAGCUUUAUACUGAGAGUUGUUAGAGAUCAUUAUAGUUAGUAUAGUAUAGUACAGUUAGCGUAAUAUAUUACAGUAUAGUUAGUGCAGUAUAGUAAGCAUAAUAUAGUGUAGUACAGUAUAGUUAUCAUAAUUUAGUAUAGUAUAGUUAGCAUAGUAUAGCAGUUAGAGUUGUAGUUGCUAUGUGAGAGUUAGAGUUGUUAUUGCAGUUCCAGUCUUACCAUUGUUUGAGUUGAAGUUGUUGUUGAGUUGAAGUUGUUGUUCCAGUUCUAGGUGCUAAGGCUCUGGCAGUAAUUGUCCCAGUUUGAGUUGUUCCAGUUGUUGUUCACUUGUAGUUCUAGAAAAGAAGAAGAGGCCAGUAGGCAGGACACAGGGGAUGCUGAUGACAAGAACAUUGGUCUAAAGGGGAAUCUGGUUGUGAAGUACUCCCACAGAAAGUGAUAGUAAGAGAGAAGGUAGUAGCUUGCUUUUCCUGGGAACUCUAUCUCUGUACAAUCCAUUUGAUUCACACCCAACUGAACUCUUUCAACUGAGCUGUUCUUUACAGCUGAGACUCUCCUAAGGGACCUCUCACAAGCAUGGUCCAGGAAGGAGAGGUAAAAAUGUGACUUCUUAUUGGGUAAUGUGACCUGGACGACAAGUCGGGGAGAUGAAAAUGAAUCUGUUGUGAGGUGAAUACACAUGCAGUUCAUUGCUGCUGCCCCAGUGGGUCUAAAGGCACUGAAAAGCUUGUGCAGGAGAAGCCUCCAGCAGCAUGUAAAAGCUAGCUUAACAACAGACAUAGCAGCAUUGGUCAAAACAGCAGAAGGCUGUAAAACUGGCUAGCUUUGGCCAAGUGUGAAUGAUGGGGUCUGGAGGUACCAUUCACAAUUAAAAGCUGGAGCUGCUGAGCCUUCUGUUGGCAGUCAGCAUCUCCCAGUGAUGUGGCAGUACUCCUGCUGAGAUUAACAAGAGUAGCAGGAAUCCUGUCUGAUAUAUCAGUUUUAUGGGCUCAGUCAGAAGAAAUAAACUGUUUGGCUACACUCAGUAGCUCUCCCUUUCUUUCAGGGCUUUGUAGAGUACAAUUUCACCCUAAAAUCCUAAAUGAUGCAAUUCAUGUUAGGUUUUUUCCUUAAACAAUUAUAACUGUCCGGGAUCCAAUCAUCCCCAGUUGAUGCUAAGACCUUUGAUAUUCAUCGAACUCAUGCCGCACUCAAGAAUGAUACUGCAUAUCUCCAAGAGGUGCUUCUGCUCAGACUCUUCCAGCAAAACACUGCAGCUCCACUCUACUGGUGCCACAAAACCCAAGAUUCACAGCUUUCAAGGAGCUGCAGAGCAUGCAGACAAAAGACAUAAG